GUGAACGCUGGCGGUAGGCCUAACACAUGCAAGUCGAACGGCAGCACAGUAAGAGCUUGCUCUUACGGGUGGCGAGUGGCGGACGGGUGAGGAAUACAUCGGAAUCUACUUUUUCGUGGGGGAUAACGUAGGGAAACUUACGCUAAUACCGCAUACGACCUACGGGUGAAAGCAGGGGAUCUUCGGACCUUGCGCGAUUGAAUGAGCCGAUGUCGGAUUAGCUAGUUGGCGGGGUAAAGGCCCACCAAGGCGACGAUACGUAGCUGGUCUGAGAGGAUGAUGAGCCACACUGGAACUGAGAAACGGUCCAGACUCCUACGGGAGGCAGAAGUGGGGAAUAUUCGACAAUAGGCGAAAGCCUGAUGCAGACAUACCGCGUGGGUGAAGAAGGCCUUCGGGUUGUAAAGCCCUUUUGUUGGGAAAAAAAAGCAGCAGGUUAAUACCCCGAUGUUUUGACGGUACCCAAAGAAUAAGCCACGGCUAACUUCGUG
rnacentral:rRNA from 1 species